rnacentral:rRNA from 1 species
GAAUAUUGGACAAUGGGCGCAAGCCUGAUCCAGCCAUGCCGCGUGAGUGAUGAAGGCCCUAGGGUUGUAAAGCUCUUUCACCGGGGAAGAUAAUGACGGUAACCGGAGAAGAAGCCCCGGCUAACUUCGUGCCAGCCGCCGAGGUAAUUCGAAGGGGGCUAGCGUUGUUCGGAAUUACUGGGCGUAAAGCGCACGUAGGCGGAUCGGUCAGUUAGGGGUGAAAUCCCAGGGCUCAACCCUGGAACGGCCUUUAAUACUGCCGGUCUGGAGUUCGAGAGAGGUGAGUGGAAUUCCGAGUGUAGAGGUGAAAUUCGUAGAUAUUCGGAGGAACACCAGUGGCGAAGGCGGCUCACUGGCUCGAUACUGACGCUGAGGUGCGAAAGCGUGGGGAGCAAACAG